rnacentral:rRNA from 1 species
UAAGCAAAAGCAUUAAGUGAUCCACCUGGGGAGUACGGCCCGCAAGGCUGAAACUCAAAGGAAUUGACGGGGGGCCCGCACAAGCGGAGGAACAUGUGGUUUAAUUGGAUGAUACGCGGGAACCUUACCUGGGCUUAAAUGUUGAGUGCAUGAGGUGGAAACACUUCUUCCCUUCGGGGCUCUCAGCAAGGUGCUGCAUGGUUGUCGUCAGCUCGUGCCGUGAGGUGUCGGGUUAAGUCCCAUAACGAGCGCAACCCUUAUCGUUAGUUGCCAGCGGGUCAUGCCGGGAACUCUAACGAAACUGCCGGUGUAAACCGAGAGGAAGGUGGGGAUGACGUCAAAUCAGCACGGCCCUUAUGUCCAGGGCCACACACGUGUUACAAUGGCCGGUACAGAGGGCAGCUACCUGGAGACAGGAUGCGAAUCUCGAAAGCCGGUCUCAGUUCGGAUCGGAGUCUGCAACUCGACUCCGUGAAGCUGGAUUCGCUAGUAAUCGCGCAUCAGCCAUGGCGCGGUGAAUACGUUCCCGG